rnacentral:sRNA from 1 species
GCUGGGCAUGGUGGUGCACACCUGUAAUCCCAGUAGCUUAGGAGGCUGAGGCAGGAGGAUCACAAGUGCAAAGCCAGCUGCAGCAACUUAAUGAGGCACUUAGCAACUCAGUAAGACCCUGUCUCUA